rnacentral:rRNA from 1 species
GACGAACGCUGGCGGCGUGCUUAACACAUGCAAGUCGAACGGAAAGGCACUGCUUUCGUGGGGUGCUCGAGUGGCGAACGGGUGAGUAACACGUGAGUAACCUGCCCUUGACUUUGGGAUAACUUCAGGAAACUGGGGCUAAUACCGGAUAGGAGCUCCUGCUGCAUGGAGGGGGGUGGAAAGUCUCGGCGGGCGUGGAUGGACUCGCGGCUUAUCAGCUUGUUGGUGGGGUAGUGGCUGACCAAGGCUUUGACGGGUAGCCGGCCUGAGUGGGUGACCGGCCACAUUGGGCCUGAGAUACGGCCCAGAGUCCUACGGGAGGCAGCAGUGGGGAAUAUUGCACAAUGGGCGGAAGCCUGAUGCAGCAACGCCGCGUGCGGGAUGACGGCCUUCGGGUUGUAAACCGCUUUCGCCUGUGACGAAGCGUGAGUGACGGUAAUGGGUAAAGAAGCACCGGCUAACUACGUG